UUCAAAAUUAACACUAUAAUACCUACUUCAGUUGAAAGUUCACAAGUUAUAGAACAUAUGGUAAUUGACGACAACUUUGCUCAAUCCAGUUCAAAUACAAAUAUUCAGUCUUUUGCUAUACAAUCGGAGGCCAUGUUGACUACAACUAAAAGUAUAUACACAUAAAAGUCCCCAAUGAAAUGAACCUACCAUGAGAAAGUCACCAUCACUCACACCGCGAACGAUGCUAAGAAAGUUGCAAAGAACCAGACAACAGUCAGCAGAUAGGCUUAAAAAACUGCGAGCUCUUCGGGAAAAAAGUAGAAGAUUAUUAAAGGAAGUGGCAAAUUUGGAAAAUAGCAUUUAUCGCAGAACAAAAUAUAAUGCUGAAACUUAUAUCUUCGACUUUGAAAAUUUGCCAAUCUGUGUUUACCAAAGACCAUUUUAAUAACCAGACUUUUCUGGUAAUCACCGGAUCUUGUUGAUCAAAGCAAUAACGGCGCGGUAUUUUGAAAUCCGCAUUCACCAUCCCACAAAAAUUUGCACCGGAGGAUAAAAUCAGAAAUAUCAAUACUAAACUUAUACUCUUUAAGGGGCAGUAAACAAAGAAGUCUGUUAUUAAUUUACGAAUUAUUAUUUUUUUUGUUAACAAUGGUAUCCUUGAUAAUCUUUAACAAAUUGCCUGCCAAAAUACAUUUUUUUACAUUCAUGAACCCUCGGUUAUCUUUAAUUAAAACUAGUGGUUCGAAAAAACGCGACUUCGUUUGCUCACAUUUUUCUAUAGCCGUCCGCGAUAUAUAGAUUCUUCUGAAUUGAGCUGAUUGAUGCGAAACCUACAUUAUGCUUCUCUCUUGUGUGGUGUACUUGUUAAAUUGUUAUUAUUACACUUCAAUUUUAUGAUUGUAAAGAAACCAUUUAAAUGCCAGUAAAACAGCAAAACAAUUUUUGUUAAUAGUAACAAAAUA